GAACUGGGCCGGUAUAUCACCUUCAGGCAUUGACACAAUCCAAUAACGCGUCCAGCGCUUUCCAAAAGUGUGCCAUGAUUUUGGCCUGGAAUCGAGUAUUUCCUAAAAUAUGAGCCUCUUGGACGCACUAGGAGAAAAGCCUAGCCUGACCAUCUUUAAUGGAGGUUUGGAUCCAACCCGAUCAAACAAAAAGAACCUUUUGAGGAAGAGAAACAAGUGGCAGCUCCAAAUGGAUCUCCUGAGAAGUCUGCUUAGACAUUCAAAUCCUUUCUGAGGGAGGAGGCAGCGCUCUGGGUGCGCUUUGUUCGCCUGCUGUGACACAGACAGUCCACGCGCAGGGGACACGUCAAGACAACCCGGCUAUCAAAACAGGGCGGGAAAUUAAAAACACGAAAUAAACGGACUACAACGGAAACCGAGCGCUGACCUCGCUGGCGUGGACAUGUAGUAGACUGGAGCUCCAAAGCGGGAUUUGCUGAGCGGUGAAGCGCGGUUCAGCAGGUGAGACUCCCCUCUGCGUAAAAGCUGCCAUUCGGUACUCCGGCACUCCUCCCUUUCCCCAUCUCCCUCCUCCUCAGCAGGCCAGUUGCUUUGCUCAGCUGUCUUAAAGAGGCCGCAGCCUUCUUCACCUCCUGCCGUUUCUCUCCUUCCAAAACGCAAAGGUGUCCAAACAUUCCUUCUAAGAUUCAGAAUGAAGGACAGAAUGUUUCUGUUUGUGCAGGUCUCAUUGUUUAAAAAGAAUACGUUUAACGGAACACAUAGAUGAACCACGGAGCAACGAGACAUAUUCUUCAAGGAAUUCAGUUGACGAGCAAAAAAAGUUUACUUUUUUCUACUUGAGAACUCAGAAGAAUACUUCAGAAAAACACGUGUCUGCUCUUGUUCGCCUCUGCAUUUCACAAUAUAUUUACACCCAGAUGGAUCCACGGAACUCCUCCAGGAACCCUCCAAGGACGCACCAAUUUCUGCAACUCUAUCGUUCCAGCUUGAGAGCAGAUGGUUGCAGGAAUAAAACCAAAAGAAGAAGAAGAAUGGGCUCUAGGAAAAAAGGCUUCAGUCCUUGACUCUCCAACUCCCUGAGGGAAAACCUGGCGCCUCCUGUCCGCAUCUGAAGACUGGAAACUGGACCAAACAGAGAGGAGGAGGAGGGAGGAGGUGGAAGAAGUAAAACGAGUGGAAUAAAAUGAAGGAUGGAGAAAGGCUGCGUUAACACAGGUUCAUUCCGCAUUAUUAGUAUUAUUAUUAUUAUUAUUGUUAUUAUAGUUGGUGUCGUCAUUUUGAAUUAGCAACAAAGCAUUAUUCCGUCGUGGUAUCAGUUAAAGUUCGGUGUUAAAAAACGCAACAAAAGCGUGAAAACCUCAUUUCAUUCGUUUACGGCAACAUUGUCGCAUUUUCUCGUCGAGGCUUUCCUUUGAACGCAGACUGAUCCUCUUUCUCAGCUGUUAAAACUGUGGAGCAGACAUCAGCUGAUUCCUACGCUUUUAGGCGAAGCCGGGAAACCUGGAAGUCAAUGCAAGGAACUGCUCUGCGUCUCCGGACCGGUGAAUGUCGUUUUUAAAAAGACAGUUUUUAACUCUAAACACUAUUUUCAUCGGUCUCGUUUCUUCAUUUUUCAAUGUAUUUGUCUUUUAUCAAUUCUUGUUGUUUUA
ensembl:lncRNA